UUCAGAGAAGUGUGAUUCUACUUGUUCCUGCUUUUCCCCUUUCUUUGACUGUUAAUGCUUCAUGCUUCUGAAGGUUUUGAAUUAAGUAUUUUCCUUCAUGAUGUACACUUGGCUUGGAAAAGAUUUCUAGCUUUUUCCUUUUUCUUCCAUCUUUUUUUUUUUAAAGGACACACUCAGCAUUAUGUCAUUUGGGCUCCGUGCCAGUAACAACAGAUACAUAGGGAGUAAACGAUGUUAUUCUAUGUGACAGCAAGGAUAGGAGUUUUGCUGUAAAGCAUAGCACUAAGGAAAACGUUAGGGUCUGUGGUGAGAUAAUUGAACGAACCCUCAACAUAAUCCUAUAAAGAAAUUGAUUACGAAAACCUGAACCAAAAUUGCAAACAGGGCUCUCUGUAUGACAUAUCUUGUCCCACCCAGAUGAAGGACCUGCCGAAUCCUACAGCCAAUUUUGAGAAGAGCAAUUGUAAAGCCCUACAGAAGACCAUUUGCAAGUGGUGGUUGUGCUAACUCCUUCCCCCCAGAAAUAUUUUCUUGAACACUCAAUCCAGCUGAACCUUUGGAUGGCAUGUAAUGGGGAUGUACGUAGUCUGUGUGAGCCUAACUUCCAUGCUGAGGGUUUAGGAGGAGAGAAGCAGUAGGAAGAAGACCCACAUGAGGCUUAAAGACCAGGGAGCAGUCAUGGGGGACUCUGAGCAUGGAGGACAAGGUCUGCUUUGGAGCCUUCACAGACAUAAGCUGCUGCUUCUUCAUUCCUGCAAAGAAGAUGAACUUCACUGAAAUAUCUGGAAAUUAUGUACAGAGAAUGCAAGAGUGAAGGAAGAAGACAGCAAACUUGGUCAUACAGAAACCUUAAAUAGUUGACCUGAAACAUGGAUGCUACAGACCACUUGCAACAGUAAAAAUGUUCACAUCUCUGGCUUUAAAAAUUCUUAUAACUUUAAGUUUUAAUAUGGGCAGAAACUUUAAGAUGAAGCUUUAGAAGGAAAAGAUUUAGAAUAGCAUUUUACAACAG